rnacentral:rRNA from 1 species
CCUACGGGUGGCAGCAGUGAGGAAUAUUGGUCAAUGGCCGGAAGGCUGAACGAGCCAAGUCGCGUGAGGGAAUAAGGCCCUAUGGGUCGUAAACCUCUGUUGUCAGGGAGCAAAGGCGUCCACGUGUGGACGAGAGGAGAGUACCUGAAGAAUAAGCAUCGGCUAACUCCGUGCCAGCAGCGGCGGUAAUACGGAGGGUGCGGGCUUUAUCGGGAUUUAUCGGGUUUAGAGGGUGCAGAGGUGGGGUGUCAAGGCAGGGGUAAAAGUUCGGGGGUCAACCCCGUCGUGCCGUUGAAACUGACGGACUUGAGUGAGUGAGGAGUAAGCGGAAUGCGUGGUGUAGCGGUGAAAUGCAUAGAUAUCGCGCAGAACG